GACGAACGCUGGCGGCGUGCUUAAUACAUGCAAGUCGAACGGACAGGCCCUGCUCUUGUGGGGUGCUCGAGAGGCGAACGGGUGAGUAACACGCGAGUAACCUGCCCUUGUAUUUGGGAUAACUUCAGGAAACUGGGGCUCAUACAGGAUAGGAGCUCCUGAUGCAUGGUGGGGGUUGGAAAGUUUCGGCGGUUUGGGAUGGUCUAGAGGCUUAUCCGCUUGUUGGUGGGGUAGUGGCUUACCAAGGUUUCGACGGGUAGCCGGCCUGGGAGGGUGACCGGCCACAUGGGUACUGAGGGACGGCCCAGUCUCCUACGGGAGGCAGCAGUCGGGAAUAUUGCACAGUGGGCGGAAGCCUGAUGCAGCAGCGCCGCGUGCGGGAUGACGGCCUUCGAGUUGUAAACCGCUUUCGCCUGUGACGAAGCGUGAGUGACGGUAAUGGAUAAAGAAGCACCGGCUAACUACGUG
rnacentral:rRNA from 1 species